rnacentral:rRNA from 1 species
AUGAAUAUUUUAUCAUGGAACUACCGGGGGGGCCGUUGGACAGCUCGUGAGGUGUUGGCCCUCUCAAAAGCCAAUAACCCCAAGCUAGUAUUCCUUUCCAAGAAUACUAGACAAGAUGCUAGGAAAGUUGAAAAACUGAAGUGGAGACUUGGUUUGAAAGGUUUUCAUGGUAUGAGUAGUGAUGGCAGAAGCGGUGGAUUGGCUUUGUUCUGGGAUGAAUCCUUAUCUGUAACAGUACUUGAAGCUUGUCAUUUCAUUGAUGUCAGAAUUGUGGAUGUGGGUUCAGCUACUACUUGGAGAGGGACCUUUGUGUAUGGAGAGCCUAGAGUGGAAAAUAGGCAGCGCAUGUGGGAUCACUUACGCCGCCUUCGUGCUAUGUCGCAGGAUCCGUGGUUUGUCUAUGGUGACUAUAGUGAGGCACUAUGGCAGCAUGAGCAUGCUACAUCUUGA